UGGGGAAUAUUGCACAAUGGGCGAAAGCCUGAUGCAGCAACGCCGCGUGAGUGAUGAAGGUCUUCGGAUUGUAAAGCUCUGUCUUUUGGGACGAUAAUGACGGUACCAAAGGAGGAAGCCACGGCUAACUACGUGCCAGCAGCCGCGGCAAUACGUAGGUGGCGAGCGUUGUCCGGAUUUACUGGGCGUAAAGGGUGCGUAGGCGGAUGUUUAAGUGAGAUGUGAAAUACCCGGGCUUAACUUGGGUGCUGCAUUUCAAACUGGAUAUCUAGAGUGCAGGAGAGGAGAAUGGAAUUCCUAGUGUAGCGGUGAAAUGCGUAGAGAUUAGGAAGAACACCAGUGGCGAAGGCGAUUCUCUGGACUGUAACUGACGCUGAGGCACGAAAGCGUGGGUAGCAAACAGGAUUAGAUACCCUGGUAGUCCACGCCGUAAACGAUGAGUACUAGGUGUAGGAGGUAUCGACCCCUUCUGUGCCGCAGUAAACACAUUAAGUACUCCGCCUGGGAAGUACGAUCGCAAGAUUAAAAC
rnacentral:rRNA from 1 species